GGAGGCCCCAAAGGCACCGUGCAUGUGCAUGCUGUAUGUUGUAAAAUGGCAACGUUUCGCCUUUUAUCAUGUUUAUUAAAAUGUAUGCUCCAUAUGUACAUUCUCUCUCUAUAUAUAAAUGAAUACUUUUCGGAAUUAAAAAAAAUAUUUUUAACCCCGCUCAAAUUAUCCGGAUGAUAAUAGUUACACCGAGCAUGGUUUCGUAGUUAAAUUCAGACUGUAGAACAUCCGGUUUGAAUACAUGUGUUUUCUGACUUUUCGGAUAGCCAACUCUUGUUUUUUUGGAACUUACGACUUAUGGCAAGAGAGAAGAAAACUGUGUGACUUUAAAAGAAAACCAUUGAGAUAAAAUCAUAGAUAAUGUAUGAUGAUUCAGGAUGUGGUCAUUUGUGACAUUAAAACAGGAAUUGUCAUCACCAAUAGACAAAUUUCACAUUCCUAAGAGUUUUCUUCAAUUGGCGGCGUAUCGCUCAUUUUCCCCACUUUGUCCUUUGUCCUGUUCUGUGGAUGCCCUAAGACAGUGUCUACCCAUCACUCCAUCUGAAAUCACUUGUUCUGUGCAUAUUUCUCUCUCAAACCUAAACUACAGAGAGCCUGUGAA